GCGUCUUUAGCUCAGUGGUAGAGUAUACGGUUGCAAUUCGCUUCUUUCGGAAUUGAAUCCCGUCUGGUCCCUGGUUCAAUCCCGGGAAGGCGCU